rnacentral:rRNA from 1 species
UACGGGGGGGGCAAGCGUUGUUCGGAAUUACUGGGCGUAAAGGGCUCGUAGGUGGCCAACUAAGUCAGACGUGAAAUCCCUCGGCUUAACCGGGGAACUGCGUCUGAUACUGGAUGGCUUGAGUUUGGGAGAGGAAUGCGGAAUUCCAGGUGUAGCGGUGAAAUGCGUAGAUAUCUGGAGGAACACCGGUGGCGAAGGCGGCAUCCUGGACCAAUACUGACACUGAGGAGCGAAAGCCAGGGGAGCAAACGGG